rnacentral:rRNA from 1 species
UACAGAGGUGGCAAGCGUUGUUCGGAAUUACUGGGCGUAAAGGGCGCGUAGGCGGCCUUCUAAGUCAGACGUGAAAUCCCCCGGCUUAACCUGGGAACUGCGUCUGAUACUGGGAGGCUUGAGUAUGGGAGAGGGAUGUAGAAUUCCAGGUGUAGCGGUGAAAUGUGUAGAUAUCUGGAGGAAUACCGGUGGCGAAGGCGGCAUCCUGGACCAUAACUGACGCUGAGGCGCGAAAGCUAGGGGAGCAAACAGG